rnacentral:siRNA from 1 species
AAACAAGCCAUUUGGUGGGUUAGA